rnacentral:rRNA from 1 species
GAGUUUGAUCGUGGCUCAGAUUGAACGCUGGCGGCAGGCCUAACACAUGCAAGUCGAGCGGUAGAGAGAAGCUUGCUUCUCUUGAGAGCGGCGGACGGGUGAGUAAUGCCUAGGAAUCUGCCUGGUAGUGGGGGAUAACGCUCGGAAACGGACGCUAAUACCGCAUACGUCCUACGGGAGAAAGCAGGGGACCUUCGGGCCUUGCGCUAUCAGAUGAGCCUAGGUCGGAUUAGCUAGUUGGUGAGGUAAUGGCUCACCAAGGCGACGAUCCGUAACUGGUCUGAGAGGAUGAUCAGUCACACUGGAACUGAGACACGGUCCAGACUCCUACGGGAGGCAGCAGUGGGGAAUAUUGGACAAUGGGCGAAAGCCUGAUCCAGCCAUGCCGCGUGUGUGAAGAAGGUCUUCGGAUUGUAAAGCACUUUAAGUUGGGAGGAAGGGCAGUAAAUUAAUACUUUGCUGUUUUGACGUUUACCGACAGAAUAAGCACCGGCUAACUCUGUGCCAGCCGCCG